rnacentral:lncRNA from 1 species
UUUAGUUAAAACACUAUUAAAUACCAUAAAAUUCGAAACAAUCAAUGAGUAGGAGUAGGAAUAUAAUCAAUGUGUAAUAUUAUUCUCAAUGAAGCUUAGGUAGAAAAAAGGACAACUUGGAAAGAAAAUUGAAUUAAUAUCUAAACUUCUCGAUCUUGUUCUUUAAUUCGGGAUACGCCAUAAUUUUCAAAUUUCACCGACUGUAAUUUUCUUCUAUUUUUU